GCGCGGGGGGAAGAGGAGGGUCGUGGGGGAGCGGGGCCGGCUCGGCUUGCGGUUCCAGCAGGGAGAGAGGGAGGGAGCAGGGCGGCGGUUGAGGGAAGAAGGAGCUGACAAGGUGGCCCCACGUGUCAGCGGAAAGGAGAGAGGGAGGGAAAGGGGUGGCCGGCUGGGCCGACUGGGCCGAAAGUGAGGGGGGAAAGGGUUUUGUUUUUUUUUUCAACUCAUUUUCAAAAGCAUUUUCAAUUUGAAUUUUGAUCAAAUCUUUCUUUUGCAAAAUUCACACAUCACAAAAUAAAAUGGCACAGCAUGAAUGCACACACACACAAAAAUGUUUUCUAAACUUAUAUUAAAUUUUAUUUUCCCAAAAUUUAUUUAUUAUAUUUUUUUCCCUAUAUUUUAUGAGCACAAAAUAGCAAAUUAAAUUAUUUUUCAUCUAUUUCCAAAAGAGCAAAAUUUAGGGUGUUACAAUUCUACCCCCUUAAAAUGAAUCUCGUCCUCGAGAUUCGAAAGAGGCUCAGAUCCUCUGAGAGAAACAGGAAAAUAUCUUGAUAAUCCUUUCAUCUUCGCAACUUGCAUACCAAACUUAAACACUUGUCUCAAGGUCACACCUCAUGAACAUAAUUUCCAUUGAAUAACUAUUAUUCAUAAUUGACCAAGGUCCAUCUUGACUAAUAAUUUCCUUUAACUUACAAUCC
rnacentral:lncRNA from 1 species